rnacentral:tRNA from 1 species
UUUUAUGCGGUGUUUUGGGCACGAAGGGUUUUGAUCCCUUAAGAGGGGUGUCUUAACUGCCCCCAUAAGGC